CCUACGGGUGGCAGCAGUGGGGAAUAUUGCACAAUGGGGGAAACCCUGAUGCAGCGACGUCGCGUGAGUGAAGACGUAAUUCGUUAUGUAAAGCCCCAUCAGCAGGGAAGAAAAUGACGGUACCUGUGUAAGAAGCCCCGGCUAACUCAGUGCCAGCAGCCGCGGUAAUUCGUGGGGCGCACGCGUUAUCCGGAUUUACUGGGGUUAAAGGGAGCGUAGGCGGCAGUGCAAGUCUGGAGUGAAAGGGGGGGGGUCAACCCCCGGACUGCUGUGGAAACUGUACGGCUGGAGUGCAGGAGAGGUAAGUGGAAUGCGUGGUGUAGCGGUGAAAUGCAUAGAUAUUAGGAAGAACUCCAAUUGCGAAGGCAGCAUACUGGAGUGUGACUGACGUUGAGGCACGAAAGCGUGGGGAGCGAACAGGAUUAGAUACCCGAGUAGUC
rnacentral:rRNA from 1 species